rnacentral:rRNA from 1 species
CGCCAGACUCCUACGGGAGGCAGCAGUGGGGAAUAUUGCACAAUGGGGGAAACCCUGAUGCAGCGACGCCGCGUGAGUGAAGAAGUAUUUCGGUAUGUAAAGCUCUCUCAGCAGGGAAGAAAAUGACGGUACCUGAUUAAGAAGCCCCGGCUAACUACGUGCCAGCAGCCGCGGUAAUACGUAGGGGGCAAGCGUUAUCCGGAUUUACUGGGUGUAAAGGGAGCGUAGACGGUGAUGCAAGUCAGAAGUGAAAGCCCGGGGCUCAACUCCGGGACUGCUUUUGAAACUGUGUGACUGGAGUGCAGGAGAGGUAAGCGGAAUUCCUGGUGUAGCGGUGAAAUGCGUAGAUAUCAGGAGGAACACCAGUGGCGAAGGCGGCUUACUGGACUGUAACUGACGUUGAGGCUCGAAAGCGUGGGGAGCAAACAGGAUUAGAUACCCGCGUAC